GCAGAAUCCAGGGGACGGUUGCUGAGCGGGCCUGGGACAGCGGGUCGCGGCACCUCCGGCCUGCGCGUGUCUAAUCCGUCUGUCGGGUCCCGAAAGAGCUAAGCCGAGCCUGCGCCGGACGGGUGGGCUGGACUGAGAGAAUUCUCUGAGCUGGUGACAGGUGCCACAGGCACUGGGGAUCUCACCAGAAAGGAACCGACGGAGCUAGGGGCCAGCGAGAUGGCGGACGAGGCCUUAGCUGGGCUGGAUGAGGGAGCCCUUCGGAAGCUGCUGGAGGUCACAGCAGAUCUGGCAGAGCGGCGGCGCAUCCGCUCAGCCAUCCGGGAACUGCAGCGGCAGGAGCUGGAGCGCGAGGAGGAGGCCCUGGCAUCCAAGCGUUUCCGUGCCGAGCGGCAGGACAACAAGGAGAACUGGCUGCACUCUCAGCAGCGGGAAGCUGAGCAGCGGGCUGCCCUGGCACGGCUGGCAGGGCAGCUGGAGUCCAUGAACGAUGUGGAGGAAUUGACUGCACUGUUGCGAAGCGCUGGUGAGUAUGAGGAGCGCAAGCUGAUCCGAGCUGCCAUCCGCCGUGUACGGGCUCAGGAGAUUGAGGCUGCCACCUUGGCUGGGAGGUUGUACAGCGGGCGUCCCAACAGUGGCUCAAGAGAGGACAGCAAGGGGCUAGCGGCACACAGGCUGGAACAGUGUGAGGUGCCAGAGCGAGAGGAACAGGAACAGCAGGCAGAGGUUUCAAAGCCAACCCCCACCCCUGAAGGCACCAGCCAGGAUGUGACCACAGUGACACUCCUGCUGCGAGCCCCACCUGGGAGCACAUCCAGCUCACCUGCCUCACCCAGCAGUUCACCCACCCCUGCCUCUCCUGAGCCUCCAUUGGAGCCUGCCGAGGCCCAGUGCCUUACAGCUGAGGUUCCAGGCAGCCCAGAGCCACCCCCCAGCCCACCCAAGACCACCAGCCCUGAGCCUCAGGAGUCUCCAACGCUCCCCAGCACUGAGGGCCAGGUGGUCAACAAGCUUCUGUCUGGCCCCAAAGAGACCCCUGCUGCCCAGAGCCCCACCAGAGGCCCCUCUGACACCAAGAGAGCAGGGAGUCCACCCAUCUCCCAGCUGGAGCUGUGGGCAGCACUGGCCAGGAGGGCUGUCCCCCCUCCCCAUCUGCAGAAAGGAUCUGGGCACCCUUCCUCCAGCCUAAGCCUCGCCUGGCCCCCAGGAGUGUCCAAGUCAUCCUAGGACGUGGCUGGACCCCGACCCUGCCAACGCUCCCUGUCGGUGCUCAGCCCCCGCCAACCAGCCCAGAACCGAGAGUCCACCCCCCUUGCCAGCGGACCUUCCUCAUUCCAGCGGGCUGGCUCUGUGCGGGAUCGUGUCCACAAGUUCACAUCUGAUUCUCCUAUGGCUGCUAGGCUCCAGGAUGGCACACCCCAGGCUGCCCUAAGUCCCCUGACCCCCGCAAGGCUCCUGGGCCCCUCCCUCACCAGCACCACCCCUGCCUCCUCCUCCAGCGGCUCCUCCUCUCGGGGCCCCAGUGAUACCUCCUCCCGGUUCAGCAAGGAGCAACGAGGAGUAGCCCAGCCCCUGGCCCAGCUUCGAAGCUGCCCCCAGGAGGAGGGCCCCAGGGGGCGGGGCUUGGCUGCUAGGCCCCUUGAAAACAGAGCAGGGGGGCCUGUGGCACGUUCAGAGGAGCCUGGUGCCCCGCUGCCCGUGGCCGUCGGCACUGCCGAGCCAGGGGGCAGUAUGAAGACCACAUUCACCAUCGAGAUCAAGGACGGCCGUGGCCAGGCCUCCACAGGCCGGGUGCUGCUGCCCACAGGCAACCAGAGGGCAGAACUGACACUGGGGCUGCGGGCGCCCCCGACCCUACUCAGCACCAGUAGUGGGGGCAAGAGCACCAUCACCCGUGUCAACAGCCCUGGGACCCUGGCUCGGCUGGGCAGUGUCACUCAUGUCACCAGCUUCAGCCAUGCCCCCCCCAGUAGCCGAGGAGGCUGCAGCAUCAAGAUGGAAGCAGAGCCAGCAGAGCCUCUCGCUGCAGCAGUGGAAGCGGCCAAUGGGGCUGAGCAGACCCGAGUGAACAAAGCACCAGAAGGGCGGAGCCCUCUGAGCGCUGAGGAGCUGAUGACUAUUGAGGAUGAAGGAGUCUUGGACAAGAUGCUGGAUCAGAGCACGGACUUUGAAGAGCGGAAGCUCAUCCGGGCUGCACUUCGUGAGCUCCGACAAAGGAAGAGAGACCCAGAUACUCCCUCCCGCAGCUACUCUCUCCUUGGAUCCAGUUGCCUCUCAAAGUACUGUCAACGACUCCUUCCCUGAAUCCAGAUACUCCUUCUCCCUGCUGCUCCUCUCUCCCUGAAGUCCAUUGAUGGCCAUCUUAGCCUCUGCCCCAUCCAGCUUCCCUUUUCCUGGACACAACUACUUCCUCCCCCAGAUAGUUCUUCCCUGGACACAUCUAUUCAUUCCCUUAGAUUCUGGGUUCAAUUGCUUCUCCUCUCAAACACUCUCAAUUACUCCUCUGAAUCUAGCUGCUUCUGCCAGGGCCCACUGAUGGCCACCCCAGUCUCUAUCUCUACCCACCUACUUCUAUUUUAAGCCCAGUUAACCCCCUUCACUAGCUUCUCUCCCAGCUACUCUUCCCCUGGAUCAGAUUGCUUCUCAGAUCCCAUCAAUUGCUCCCUUCCUGGAUCUAAAUAUUCCUGCCUCCAGCUGCUCUUCUCCUCCAACCAAAGACCUGCUGAUGGCCCACCCAGCUACUUCCUCACUCAGCUUCUCCUUCCUUGGACUCAGCUACCCCCUCACUAGAUCUAGAUACCCCUCCUGACUUAGCUACUCAUGCCUAUAGAAACCCUUUUUGGAUCCAUACCCCUUUGAGUUUAGCUACUCCGUAUUCUCUAGUUUCUGCCUGAGUCCAUCAAACCCUUCCCACACUCCAUUCCCUGUCAAGUUAUGGCUGUCCCCUCACCCCAGCUGCUCCUAGAGAGGCCCUUGUUACCUGUGUCAUUCAUGUUUCUAACAAGCCACCCUCCACCCCGUCUUGUGUGCCCCAUGCACCUGUGCAUCUGUGCUGUGUGGGUGUUGGUGGCCCUUUUGCGCAUGCAUGGGGCAUCCCCUGCCCAGACCAGCGGGACAAGGAGCGGGAACGGCGGCUGCAGGAGGCACGGGGCCGGCCAGGGGAGGGGCGCGGCAACACAGCCACUGAGACCACCACGAGGCACAGCCAGCGGGCAGCUGAUGGCUCUGCUGUCAGCACUGUUACCAAGACUGAGCGGCUCGUCCACUCCAAUGAUGGCACACGGACGGCCCGCACCACCACAGUGGAGUCGAGUUUCGUGAGGCGCUCGGAGAGUAAGGCCACCUGGUGUCGCCCUGUGCCUGCCUGCCUGUCCGCCCACCUCCUCCGGCUCUUCCUUGAGCUCUCUCUCCGUGUCUUCAACUGUGCCGUCACUUUCUCUUCUCUGCCUGCGGCUAUCACCACCCCUCCAUACAGCCUCCCAUCCCAUCUCCUGAUGUCCAGCCCAGGCCCUCACCUGGUGCCCCUUCCCCUUUUUUGCAGAUGGCAGUGGCAGCACCAUGAUGCAAACCAAGACCUUCUCCUCUUCCUCCUCAUCCAAGAAGAUGGGCAGCAUCUUCGACCGCGAGGACCAGGCCAGCCCACGGGCCGGCAGCCUGGCGGCGCUCGAGAAACGGCAGGCCGAGAAGAAGAAAGAGCUGAUGAAGGCGCAGAGUCUGCCCAAGACCUCAGCCUCCCAGGCGCGCAAGGCCAUGAUUGAGAAGCUGGAGAAGGAGGGCGCGGCCGGCAGCCCUGGCGGACCCCGCGCAGCCGUGCAGCGAUCCACCAGCUUCGGGGUCCCCAACGCCAACAGCAUCAAGCAGAUGCUGCUGGACUGGUGUCGAGCCAAGACUCGCGGCUACGAGCACGUCGACAUCCAGAACUUCUCCUCCAGCUGGAGUGAUGGGAUGGCCUUCUGUGCCCUGGUGCACAACUUCUUCCCUGAGGCCUUCGACUAUGGGCAGCUUAGCCCUCAGAACCGACGCCAGAACUUCGAGGUGGCCUUCUCAUCUGCGGAGACCCAUGCGGACUGCCCGCAGCUCCUGGAUACAGAGGACAUGGUGCGGCUUCGAGAGCCUGACUGGAAGUGCGUGUACACGUACAUCCAGGAAUUCUACCGCUGUCUGGUCCAGAAGGGGCUGGUAAAAACCAAAAAGUCCUAACCCCUGCUCGGGGCCCCACGGAUGCUGGUGGACUGUGUGCCCCUGGUGGAGGUGGACGACAUGAUGAUCAUGGGCAAGAAGCCUGACCCCAAGUGUGUCUUCACCUAUGUGCAGUCGCUCUACAACCACCUGCGACGCCACGAACUGCGCCUGCGCGGCAAGAAUGUCUAGCCUGCCCGCCCGCAUGGCCAGCCAGUGGCAAGCUGCCGCCCCCACUCUCCGGGCACCGUCUCCUGCCUGUGCGUCCGCCCACCGCUGCCCUGUCUGUUGCGACACCCUCCCCCCCACAUACACACGCAGCGUUUUGAUAAAUUAUUGGUUUUCAACGA